AUCCAGUAGUGGGUAUUCAGUUACUUACUAUUGUGUGUUGGUCCUUUACUGUGAGAAAAUUAGAGUGUUCAAAGCAGGCGUUUGCUUGAAUAGAUUAGCAUGGAAUAAUAAUUGAAGGCUUUCGUGUUCGAUUUGAUUGGUUUGUUCAUGGAAGCAAGGUUAAAAGGAACAGUUGGGGGUAUUCAUAUUCACUAGUUAGAGGUGAAAUUCUCGGAUUUAUGGAAGAUGAACAAGUGCGAAAGCAUUUACCAAGGAUGUUUUCAUUAAUCAAGAAC
rnacentral:rRNA from 1 species